GGCAUUUUGAGCAGUACCUUUUCUGAAGCUGUAAAGACCUUCCGAGUGGCAGGCUCUGUGUUAGGACUUUGCUUUCUCUACAUUAACUCUUAUGACAACCCUUCCAGAUGAACACCAUUGUCUCCAUUUUACCAGUGAGGAAACGGGAGAUGUUCCUGACUCGCCUGUGGUCACAUGAUUAUGAAUGGCCCACAUCUGGCAUGGCUCAGGGUUCAGGCUCUGGAAGAGGGGCUGCACGCAAAUGAGAGAGACAAGACAAGAAAUGAUAAUUUGGAAAUAUGGGGGGACCAGGUGAGAGCCCAACUCUAGAGGAAGGACUGCCGUUGGGCUCAUGCCUUGGCAUUCUUUUAUUCAGUUUGGGAUACACCUGUAGCCCGUAGGCAGGCAAUUUCCAGUGACAGAGCAUCUUAUCGGUAAGGAAUUACAUGACUGUCGGGUGGGGAAGUUGCUUCAGCUACCAUUGUCUCAGUGGGUGCACAGCUCUGACCUUUGCAGGGGCUCAAAGGUCACCAGCCUUCCGGGCUCCUUGUCCACACCUCUCUGGCGGUGAAGACAAUAGGCGGUUUCCCACACCUUUAUUAUUACUCU